rnacentral:rRNA from 1 species
UACGUAGGGCGCAAGCGUUGUCUGGAAUUAUUGGGCGUAAAGAGCUCGUAGGCGGUUUGUCGCGUCUGCUGUGAAAACCUAAGGCUCAACCUUGGGCUUGCAGUGGGUACGGGCAGACUAGAGUGCGGUAGGGGUGACUGGAAUUCCUGGUGUAGCGGUGGAAUGCGCAGAUAUCAGGAGGAACACCGAUGGCGAAGGCAGGUCACUGGGCCGCAACUGACGCUGAGGAGCGAAAGCAUGGGGAGCGAACAGG